rnacentral:rRNA from 1 species
CAGUCGCCGCGGGAAUACGGAGGGUGCAAGCGUUAAUCGGAAUUACUGGGCGUAAAGCGCACGCAGGCGGUUUGUUAAGUCAGAUGUGAAAUCCCCGAGCUUAACUUGGGAACUGCAUUUGAAACUGGCAGGCUAGAGUCUUGUAGAGGGGGGUAGAAUUCCAGGUGUAGCGGUGAAAUGCGUAGAGAUCUGGAGGAAUACCGGUGGCGAAGGCGGCCCCCUGGACAAAGACUGACGCUCAGGUGCGAGAGCGUGGGGAGCAAACAGGAUUAGAUACCCCGGUAGUCCCUGUCUCUUAUAC